GGACCCAUAGCUCAGCGGUAGAGCAUCUGAUUCCAGCUAGAUUCUCCAGCUUGGAAACAGCAUCCAGAAGGUCAUCCGUUCAAAUCGGGUUGGGUUCA